rnacentral:rRNA from 1 species
AUGUUUUUGCCUAAUUUGUGUGUGCCUUUGUUUUGUAGGAACUUGUCAAAUCUUAGUCUGAAGGGAAUGUUAUCUCCUGAGAUUGGACAACUUACUAAUAUGCAUUUUCUUGUACUGCAUAGGAACUUGUUCUAUGGUAUUGUCCCUAGAGAGAUGGGAAAUUUACGAGAGCUGAAGGUGUUGGAUCUGGGGUACAAUAACUUCAAUGGAUUAAUUCCAUCAGAGCUAAUAAACAUUUUAUCCCUGGAAUUUAUCUUUCUUAAAAGAAACAUACUUUAUGGUGAUUUACCUCUUGAACUAAAUGAGCUCAUCAGUCUGUGUGAGUCUCAGGUUCGCCACGGCAGGACUUUCUCAAAUAGGAUGCCCGCUGCAAGGUUUGUCUAA